GUUCAUUCAGGUUUCUGGGUCAGGUCCCAGCUCUUAUUCUUAUUCCUAGAGGCUGAGCAUCUCAGUGGAUGGUUAAAAUCUCCAUGCUAAGGUAGACGGGAAGAGAGUUGUCAUGAGUGGGGUACAGGGAAAGGAAGGCAUCUCAGACAGAAACCCUGUCUCAGCCCCUUAGGACUACAAUUUCAUCGUGAAGUGUGAGAAGGUCUCCUGAAUGGAGAAAUAGCACACAGUCACGAAGAGCCUAGCUUGCAAAUGGCUGUUGUGGCUUUUCAUUGACAUUGAUUGGACUGUUUGAAGACUUUAGUUUCCAUCAUCAAUGGAAUCUAGUGAUUUUCACUAAUGGAUUUAUGAAAGAGACUUCAAUACGUCAGGAUGGCAUUUCUGAAAUCCUCAGGAAGGAAUGGAGAAGGGAUACGCAGAAAAUCAGGUGACUUCACGAUUUCUCAUGUAUGGAUGACUGUCAGGAAUCACCUCAGGUCAUUCUCCAGAAAGAUAACAAAGAUGUAAGCAUUAGUAAAUGCCUCAGUAUUGUUUUUUUUAAUUCACAUCUCUCUUUUUUCUUUUAAUAAAACGGAUUUUUCACUCA
rnacentral:lncRNA from 1 species